AUGAACUGGGGCCAAACUGUAGAGAGCUUGGAUGAAUAGCUUAGUGCAAAGAUGAAUACUUUAGUCAAUCUCUCCUUACUCCUUAACUUCACUCCUCUUCGUUGUCCCCCAUGCUUCGUGCUCUGGUACCAGACAUUUCACAAUUGGCCAACUGUUACCCACUUUCUCCAUCCCUACCUUACAUGUGGAAGAAUGGAACUAACCCCAACAAGCUUCAUCAGCCACCUUUGAUUUUCCUAAGCCAAUCAGCAGGGCUUAUCUACCUAUUCACAGGAAUUGGUUCGGGGACAGACCUAGCCGACACAGGGAGAGGUCAUUGCUAGACAUUCAUCUGUACACUACCUGGAUGAACAAGACCUAAUUUAGAUCCAUGAGACGUGAGGAGAUAUUUAAUCAGGGUUUGGAGAAACCAUGGAAGAAGAGUCUAUUCUUUUGUGUAGGGAGAGUUAUAAAGAAAUU
rnacentral:lncRNA from 1 species